rnacentral:rRNA from 1 species
AACUAACAAGGAUUCCCCCAGUAACGGCGAGUGAAGCGGGAAGAGCUCAAGCUUAAAAUCUCCAUACUUGUAUGGCGAAUUGUAGUCUAUUGAGGCUGUUGUCAGCAUCGCGAUUGGGGACAAGUCCCUUGGAAAAGGGCAGCAUGGAGGGUGAUACUCCCGUCUCUGCUCCAAUCUGCGGUGUGUACGAUACGCUUUCUUUGAGUCGAGUUGUUUGGGAAUACAGCUCAAAGUAGGUGGUAAAUUCCAUCUAAAGCUAAAUAUUGGUGCGAGACCGAUAGCGAACAAGUACCGUGAGGGAAAGAUGAAAAGAACUUUGAAAAGAGAGUUAAAGAGUACCUGAAACUGUUGAAAGGGAACCGUAUCGUUUCCAGUGUUGUAUCCUAUGCAUAUUUCAUUCGUGGAGUAAUUUACGGGUGCCCUGUGCAUGGGUGUGACGUCAGGGUCAGUUUGUAUGCUGCGGGAGAUGGUCAGUGAGGAGGUGCGUCACUUCGGUGAAAGUUAUAUCUCGCUGUCUAGUAGCCGUGGUUGAGACUGAGGUGCCUACAACAUGCCUUAAGGUUCUAUGUUGUCUCGUGUUGAUGACUGCUUUGAUAGCUUGCUAUGUCUGUGGUUUAUUAAUGCGAUUGAUGAUGUGGAUAACUUUUGCUGUUCGGGACUCUGGCGAAAUGGAGCGA